UCAGCAUCUUGGCCAGGUGCACGCGGUUGCGCUGGCCGCCGGAGAGGUUGCCGACUUUCUGCUGCUGGUCGCCGCCGCGGAAGUUGAA
rnacentral:tRNA from 1 species